CGUCGGCCAUAGAAUCGAGAAAACGCCCCAUCCCGUCUGCUCUGGGCAGCUUGAAGCUCGAUAUCGCUCGGUUAGUACCAUCGUGGGGGACCAGAUGGGAGUCCCGGGUGCUGACGUU